rnacentral:tRNA from 1 species
GAUCAAGAAAGAGACUUUAGUCCCACCAUCAACCCCCAAAGCUGAUAUUCUAUAAUAA